GGGGGGGGGGGGGGGGGGGGGGGGGGGGGGGGGGGGGGGGGGGGGGGGGGGGGGGGGGGGGGGGGGGGGGGGGGCCGGUGCCUCCAUCCGCUAAGCCGCGGGUCCGCUCCCUUGCGUUCAAAAGCACAGCCAUCCCUCCCCGCAGCCCCCCCGGUCCCCGCAGGCCCGGGAGCGGAGAACUCGCCGUGCCCCUUCCUCCCUUACCUGCGGGCCGAGCUGCGCCGAGCCCCGAACGGGCGCUUGCGGGAACAGCUGCCCCGACACUAUCGCAUCUUCCGCCCGGGCAACGGGGCGGGAGGAGGAGAGCCCCCGGUACAGCGGUCCCGACUGAGCUGCUCGGGGGAGCGGGGGAGUGACGGAAGGGUUCCUCUGGUAAACCCCCUGGGGCAGAAGGGACGCUCCUCCGCUGCUGCCGGACCCCCGGGGGGCGGCGGGCAGCGGCUCCCCGGGGGGCGGCGGGCAGCGGCUCGGCCCCCGCCGCCACGUCUCAAACUUCGGGGAAACACGUUUCGAUCCCCCCUCCCGCCCCCUUUCUGCUGGGACCGGCUUUUUAUCCCGGCGAGAGAAAUCCAGACCUCUCAGGAACAACCAGAAGAGCGAAACAGACAAGAAACCGCAGAAGAAAGCAUUGGAAAGGCGGCCGGGAGAUAAUCCAGGAAUGCUUCAGAUAAGGAAGGGGGGAACGAUACGUGAGGAGAUACCCGAAAAGUCAGAGCCUGAUGGAACGGCUGAAAGAAGGACGGGGGAUGGGGGGGAUACCCGCACUUGUUUAGAGCCUGUUAAAGUUACUGGCCGGGAUUUUCGAGACUUCAACGGUGACAGCAGUGCUGGCGGCGGGAGUGAAGGCACCCACACACAAAAGGAGUCUUACAGGGACAAAAGUUGCGACGGCUGCCAGGUUUUCCCCGCGGCGGCACCUCGGGGUAGCCCGGGCAAGGCAGCUCAGAGCCGACCUGUGCCUUGCCCUUCCUAUUUCACACUACAAAUAGAAAAUUUCAGUCUAAAGUCCGUAGACUACCCCCUGAGCCGGCAACGCCAUGGUGUUGGGGUUGUUGAAGGUUUUUUUCUUGCACUAUUUGGGUUCUACAAGUUCAUUUGUGUUAAAUUGGAAGCGCUGCUCCACGCCGGGGUUCGCGACGAUCCCUGCCUUUAGCACAUUCGCCCCCCGGUGUUCCGUACUCCCUGCCUAUGCCAAGCCCUCUUUCUUUCCCGUCGAUAUUCCUAUACUUCUCGUUGAAUUAAAUAAUAAUAACAAUAAAAGAAAUUGCUGGAUAAAACUGUGGCUGCUUAAUUAAAAAAAAAAAAAAAAACCGGGGGGGGGGGGGGGGGGGGGGGGGGGGGGGGGGGGGGGGGGGGGGGGGGGGGGGGGGGGGGGGGGGGGGGGGG
rnacentral:lncRNA from 1 species